GACGAACGCUGGCGGCGUGCUUAACACAUGCAAGUCGAGCGGUAAGGCCCUUCGGGUACACGAGCGGCGAACGGGUGAGUAACACGUGGGUGACCUGCCUCUAGCUCUGGGAUAAGCCUGGGAAACUGGGUCUAAUACCGGAUAUGACUCCACGGCGCAUGUUGUGGGGUGGAAAGCCUUGUGUGGCUAGAGAUGGGCCCGCGGCCUAUCAGCUUGUGGUGGGGGAUGGCCUACCAAGGCGACGACGGGUAGCCGGCCUGAGAGGGCGACGGCCACACUGGGACUGAGACACGGCCCAGACUCCUACGGGAGGCAGCAGUGGGGAAUCUUGCGCAAUGGGCGAAAGCCUGACGCAGCGACGCCGCGUGAGGGAUGACGGCCUGG
rnacentral:rRNA from 1 species